CUGAGUGUUCUGAGAACAUCUAAUGACAAAUUGGGAAGGCAGCUCUGGCUAGCAGGAAGAAGACUCUGGGGUAGAGAAAAGGGACCAAUGGGCUGGAACAACGCAUGGUGAUGUGUACGGAUUGAAGCCAAGUGCAAUUGUGUACCUACAGGAAAAUGUCAAGAGAUUAUUGUGUAUGCUGACUUUUUAAAAGUUCCUGAUAAUUAACAACUUGAAAUAGUUACUUGUUUUUACCAUAAGAUAUAAUUCAGGAUUUAUUUGAUUGUUAAAAUAUACAAAACAUUUGCCUCAAAA